rnacentral:rRNA from 1 species
CCCUGCCUUUUGUACACACCGCCCGUCGCACCUACCGAUUGAAUGAUUCGGUGAAACUUUCGGACCGUGGUUAGGACGCCUUUGGGCGACUUGAUCGUGGGAAGUUAUUUAAACCUCAUCAUUUAGAGGAAGGU